rnacentral:snRNA from 1 species
GCUGCCUUUGGCAGCAUGCUACUGAAAUUGGGUCCCUACAGAGAAGAUUAUCAUGAGCUCUGUGCAAGGAGGGCUUGCAGAUUUGUACAACUUAUACUU